GAGAAAUCAACAGAGAUUCCGCAAGUAGUGGCGAGCGAACGCGGAAGAGGCCAAACCGAAGGAAUUAUUCUUCGGGGUUGCGGACAGUCAUUUAACAGAAGUUAUCUAGGAGAAAGGUCUGGGAAGGCCUGCCAUAGAGGGUGAGAGCCCCGUAUUUGAAAGAGAAGGCUGUGAGACUGGAUCCAGAGUACCGCUGGACACGUGAAACCCGGUGGGAAACAGGGGGGACCACCCUCCAAGCCUAAAUACUACCUGAUGACCGAUAGAGGAGCAGUACCGUGAGGGAAAGGUGAAAAGGACCCCGGGAGGGGAGUGAAAGAGAACCUGAAACCUUGUGCUUACAAGCUGUCAGAGCACGUUAAAGUGUGAUGGCGUACUUUUUGUAGAACGGUCCGGCGAGUUAUAGUAACGAGCAAGCUUAAGGUAUUCAGUACCGGAGGCGCAGCGAGAGCGAGUCUGAACAGGGCGUAUGAAGUUCGUUGCCAUAGACCCGAAACCGGGUGACCUACCCAUGAGCAGGUUGAAGUGGGGGUGAAACCCCAUGGAGGACCGAACCGACCCCCGUUGCAAUGGUGGCGGAUGACUUGUGGGUAGCGGUGAAAUUCCAAUCGAACUCGGAGAUAGCUGGUUCUCCCCGAAAUAGCUUUAGGGCUAGCGUUAUGUUAGAUUACCGGAGGUAAAGCACUGAAUGGUCGAGGGGCUGAUAAAGUUACCAACGCCUAUCAAACUCUGAAUGCCGGAUAAUUGAUGCAUAGCAGUCAGACAGUGUGAGAUAAGUUUCAUUGUCAAAAGGGAAACAGCCCAGACCUACAGCUAAGGUCCCCAAUGUAUGCUAAGUGGAAAACGAUGUGGAGUUGCGAAAACAACCAGGAUGUUGGCUCAGAAGCAGCCAUACAUUAAAAGAGUGCGUAAUAGCUCACUGGUCGAGUGACUCUGCGCGGAAAAUGUAACGGGGCUAAGUAUCUAACCGAAGCUUAGGCAGUCAAUGACUGGGUAGGGGAGCGUUCUAUGCGGGGGCGAAGUCAGAGCGAGAGCACUGGUGGACUGCAUAGAAGUGAGAAUGCCGGAAUAAGUAGCGAGAAUUAUGUGAGAAUCAUAAUGGCCGAAAAUCUAAGGUUUCUUGGGGAAGGUUCGUCCGCCCAAGGUUAGUCGGGAGCUAAGGCGAGGCCUAACGGCGUAGUCGAUGCACAUACGGUAGAAAUUCCGUAACCACCGAACUUUAAACAUAAGGGACGCUUUCAUUAAGGUGAACCCGGGCGAUGGUUGCCCCGGGCGUAAGGGACCGAAAUAUAGUACGGAAGUCACUAGCGUGAGAGACGAGAAAAGCUUAUGCGUAUACUAAGGUGCCCGUACCGCAAACCGACACAGGUAGAUGGGAUGAGUAUUC
rnacentral:rRNA from 1 species